rnacentral:rRNA from 1 species
CUCCAGACUCCUACGGGAGGCAGCAGUAGGGAAUCUUUCACAAUGGGCGAAAGCCUGAUGGAGCAACGCCGCGUGCAGGAUGAAGGCCUUCGGGUUGUAAACUGCUUUUAUAAGCGAGAAAUAUGAUGGUAACUUAUGAAUAAGGAUCGGCUAACUACGUGCCAGCAGCCGCGGUAAUACGUAGGGGGCAAGCGUUAUCCGGAUUUACUGGGUGUAAAGGGAGCGUAGACGGCAGGGCAAGCCAGAAGUGAAAACGCAGAGCUUAACUUUGCGACUGCUUUUGGAACUGCCCAGCUAGAGUACAGGAGAGGUAAGUGGAAUUCCUAGUGUAGCGGUGAAAUGCGUAGAUAUCAGGAGGAACACCGGUGGCGAAGGCGGCCUGCUGGACUGCAACUGACGUUGAGGCCCGAAAGCGUGGGGAGCAAACAGGAUUAGAUACCCCAGUAUAA